AACGAACGCUGGCGGCAGGCCUAACACAUGCAAGUCGAACGCCGUAGCAAUACGGAGUGGCAGACGGGUGAGUAACGCGUGGGAACCUACCUUACGGUCGGGAAUAGCUCAGGGAAACUUGGGGUAAUACCGGAUACGCCCUUACGGGGAAAGAUUUAUCGCCGUUAGAUGGGCCCGCGUAGGAUUAGCUAGUUGGUGAGGUAAUGGCUCACCGAGGCGACGAUCCUUAGCUGGUCUGAGAGGAUGAUCAGCCACACUGGGACUGAGACACGGCCCAGACUCCUACGGGAGGCAGCAGUGGGGAAUAUUGGACAAUGGGCGCAAGCCUGAUCCAGCCAUGCCGCGUGAGUGACGAAGGCCUUAGGGUUGUAAAGCUCUUUUGGCGGGGAAGAUAAUGACGGUACCCGCAGAAUAAGCUCCGGCUAACUUCGUGCCAGCAGCCGCAGUAA
rnacentral:rRNA from 1 species